GUGAAGAGGAACGGGCGAGUGGUUCAGGGCUAUCCACCUAUCACAGAGGCACAGGAGGAACAUGAGGAAGAUGCGGAGCUGGAGGAGCUGGAGGAGCAAGAGGAGCAAGAGGCCGUGACCGUAUCUUUGUUAUCACAGCAGAAACGAGCAGUGAACCUCAGGGGGGCUGGUGAGAAGUCUCCAAUGUGCGGACCCAGCCAGAAGAGCGUGGCACAAAACUCUAGCAGGUCUCGGAGGAAGAUCCAGGAAAUUACUCUCAACACUUUAGAUCCUUCCAAUCUCAGCCCCAGGAUAGUGGAUGGUACUGAAGACAGUCAGGGGACAGAGAGCUCCCUGGCCUUCUCCUUCUCUAACCAAGGCCAUCCUGUCAGUGAACCAACCAGUGCCUCAGCACCAACCACAGAUAUGCUGCGCAUAAGCACAGCCGAAUUAGCAGCUAAAGCGGAGGAGACCAGAGGACAACUGCGACACCUCGAUCAACAGGUGAGCACCCUUCGGAGAGAAGUGGCCGACCUGGGGCAGGUCAUGAAGAGAAUGGCUCAACUCAUGGAGACCCUCAUGACGUCAGUGCCACAACCUGCAGUAGUCUGCCCCACACAUUACUCCCCAGCACGCCACACAUACCUACACCAUUCCCCCUCCCGUCAGACUUUCCCUUCACCAUUCCCC
ensembl:lncRNA